AGAUCAUAAGCGUGAUUAGUUUAUUGAUAAUGUGCAAGUGACUGUUACUACAAAAAUGGUUUUUUACAUGGAAAUUCUUAAUUUUAUAUUUUCAAGUCAAACAUCUGGAGAACUAAAGAUUAUUCUCAUGGUUCAUUUCACCUUGACCGCAUUAGGAGGUAUGGCAUGUGUAUCUUCCUUCUCAUACGUCUUUUAUAAUUCAGCUAUUAUAUUAACUUUGCUGUGGAGCAUACAUGACAAACCAAAUUUAGAACCAUUACGUUUAAUGGUGGGGCUCGAAUUGUGUGCAAUCCUUAUAGAUCUAUUUUAUUUUAGUGUAAUGUUGACUGAAAGAUCAAGUAAGACUCUAUAUUUUCAUUAAUUAUCAAUUUUUCACAGCUAAAUAUAUCUAAAAAGCUGAUUUAUUGAUCUAUUAUUAUAAGCAUCAUCUGCCAAAAUAAUACUCCCAACACCUAGAGCAUACCUAUAAUAAAUCAGUGAGGAAACUCACCAGAAGUAGCACAAGGAACUGUAUUAGACCAAGUCAGUGUGUCAGACCAAGUCAGUGUAAACGUAGUACUAAUAAGAUACCUGGUUAUCAGGUGUCAAUAAAAAAUGAACUGAACUAGGAAUAAAAUUGAAAAAAUGUAUGAAAUUUGCUCUGCCUACUGUAUUGAACUCUGAGCUUUUGCCAAAGAAAUCGCUGUAGAAAAUCUCCUAAAGGGAGACCGACGCAGUACUGUACCCGAUAUAGCUGAAUAAUUGGGUAUCAGCUUAGCAAAUAAUUAAUGGAAUUUUCAACCAAAGACUUUUGAAUUUUGGGCAAAAAUUCACGUUUGCAUGCGUUUCUUACAACGGUAUAGAGAAGAAGGAGAAAAUUUAUUGCAUCGAAUACUCACCCUGCAGGAAACUCUUUCUCAGAAAGUGGUAGUCGGCCUCAGUUGAAAUAUAUAAAUAAUUAGUGUAGUUCUUUCAAUAUCAAUUGUAGAUUAUAAAAAUUCUUACCGACAAUUUUGUUUGAACUGCCAUAGCCAUUUUAAAUACUUAUAGACAGAAGCAUUUAAUUGUAGUCCUACCUGGAACUUUGAAAAAAAUCAAUAUUAUACCUCGUUAACUUGCUACAACUGGAUAUAAAACUAUAAAGCGUCAAGAGACGAUUAAAAUGUACCCGCCUGUAAAGGCGUUUGGUUUAAACAGGAUACCAGACGUGAACUGAGCCGUUUUUGUACCCCAUUCGUCUAUUAGAACUCCCGUAGUCUUUUAUCUUGUCGCUAUCAAACUAACCUGGAAGAAUCAGUUAUUGCCAUCCGUUUAAUCAAAUAUUUUUGUUUAAAACAACAUGCUGACAAAACUUGACGCAAAGUUUCUAAACUGGAUGGGGCAAGCUUCACUGACUAAAGCCAAUGUCUAGCUUUCGCAGAUGACUUAGGGUUGAUAGCAAAAUCCGAGAAGCACUUUAAGAAAGCAGUAAUAAAAUUGGAAGAAGAAGCCAAGAAUUUUGGAACAGAAAUAAAUCAAGAGAAGACAAAAUACAUGAUCAUGGAAGAUACACAGAGAUAAAGAGACCUUUAGGACAACCAGACACAAAAAGUACAAUUUUGAUAGAGUUUCCAACUUUGUGUAUCUAGGAGUAGUAAUAUAAGAUAAGGGAGUAGAAGAAUUAGAACCGAAAGCCACAAUAACUAAAGGAGCACAAAAAUUCGGAAGUAUUAGAUGACUGAUGAAGUCAAAAUACGCGUCAAAAAAAACAAAAGUAAAGAAUAUAUAAAACGGUAGUAAGACAUGGAUAUUGGAAAAGGAAGAUGAAGCCAUGUUGGAAGGAUGGGUGAGGAAAAUACUAAGAGGAAUCUCCGGAGCAGUACACACAGAAGCGGGCUGGAGGAGAAGAACUAAUAAAGAAUUGGAGGAAAUUUAUGGAGAAGCUAAAAUAAGCUCGUUUUUUAAUGGACAGAGAGUGAGAUUGUUGGGACAUGUUAAGAGACUACAUUGAGAACGGAUGCAAAAAUUAGUACUGCAAAGAAGACCAAUAGGAAAAAAGAGAAAGGGGCGACCAAAUAAGAGAUAGUAUAACUGUGUAAUGGAAGACCUAAAAAAUAAUAAUGUUCAGAAUUGGAAAGAAAAAGCUGUGAACAGGAAGGAAUAGAGAAGUAUUAUGUGAAAAAUUCAAAAUAGAGAGCUUUGAUAUAUAAUAUAUAAAACUAUGUAAUAUUGCCAUUCUUGCCCUAGGCCUACAUGGCCUCUCAUGGCCUCCCAUUUUUUUUCUACGAAAAUAAGAAGCCAAAACAACAAGAUUGUGGUAAUUAGUAACAAAAAAGUUUAGUAGUGUUUACAUAUUGAAGCGACUAUAUAAAUAAUAGUAAAAAAAAGAGCAGUGAAAAUAAAAAAGCAUAGAUGUUAACUAGAAGCUGCUUUCACAAAAUAUACGUUGAGAUAAAUAUGAUGGGAUGCUGAAAAUCUCAACGACAAGACCUGUCUACAGAUCAAAACGACGCGAUAUUCCAAUACGUAGUGCGAUAUUGCUGCAAGACAACGCCAAACCGCAUACAGCGCUUGGCUUACGAUGGAAACGUUGAGAGAAUUGAGUUGAGAAAGACUGGAAAAUUAUCCUUAUAGUCCCGAUUUGUUGCCGUGCGACUAUUAUUUAUUUGGCCCAUUGAAGGAGGUACUUGAAGUAGAAUCCUUCGUGCGUGAACGGUUUUGUGAAAAGCUGGAACAUUUUUAGUAGAAAGGCAUCCGAAAGCUUCCGGAAAGGCUACAAAACUGUGAUGGAGAUGAUCUAGAAAAAAUAUAACUACUACUUCUUUUCUAGGCGUUCACUCAACUACACAGACUAUUGAAUAUUGUUAAAAUGACUGGAUAUUUAAGGUUUAAAUUACAAAAUGCUGAUAGAAAAUAUAUGUAAUAAUAAUUAUUUUUUUUUUAUUUAGCUCUGAAAGAAUCAGUUUCUGCUGCAAUGAUAUUUCUACAGUGUAUUAUUAGACCUUGUGUGGUUUUACAUCUGUCAAAAACAAAAAAUAAUCAAGAAUUUCCGAAUUCCGAUACAGAAGAUGAUACAAAUCGAACUUUGUCGAUUGAAAGGGGCGAAAGAAAUAUGAAAAUUAAUGAUCAGACGUAUUGUUCGGUGCCAGUGAAAACCAAUGUAACCGACCCAAAACAAUCUGUAGAGAAUAAUCCUUUUGAGAAUGAUUAUGCUGAACUUUCAUAAGAAACAAAUCGAAUCAAAUUGUUGGUUAGAUAUUUGCAGAGAAUCGAAUUUAUAGAAAACUGGAAUCAAUUUUUGAGGAGAAUUGUGUACAUCCGUUUUAUAAUGUUCUCAUAGAUUUUUUUAUAUUAAUACACUUUUCGUUUAUUUAUGUAAUUUUUUUUUCAGUGACUGGAAAAAGUUUGAUAUAUCUCAAAAUAAAAUGUCGCUUCUUAUGAAAUAAACGCAUAAGAUCCAAAACUUUUUCAAUUGCACUGACACAACAUUACUUUUUGCAAAUAAUUAAUAAAUUAAUAUUGAUAUUGCAAAUAUCAUCAAGUACAUUAUAUUGUCCACUAAAUAAAAUGUUUAUAA